rnacentral:rRNA from 1 species
UAAACGUACUCAGUUCGGACUGUGGUCUGCACCCGACCACACGAAGCUGGAAUCGCUAGUAAUCGCGAAUCAGAAUGUCGCGGUGAAUACGUUCCCGGGUCUUGUACACACCGCCCGUCACACCAUGGGAGCCGGAAACGCCCGAAGUCAGUGGCCCAACCGGAAGGAGGGAGCUGCCGAAGGCAGGGCUGGUAACUGGGGUGAAGUCGUAACAAGGUACC